rnacentral:rRNA from 1 species
UUUCCUUCGGGAGACUGAGAGCGGCGCACGGGUGCGGAACACGUGUGCAACCUGCCUUUAUCAGGGGGAUAGCCUUUCGAAAGGAAGAUUAAUACCCCAUAAUAUUUUGAAUGGCAUCAUUUGAAAUUGAAAACUCCGGUGGAUAAAGAUGGGCACGCGCAAGAUUAGAUAGUUGGUAGGGUAACGGCCUACCAAGUCUACGAUCUUUAGGGGGCCUGAGAGGGUGAUCCCCCACACUGGUACUGAGACACGGACCAGACUCCUACGGGAGGCAGCAGUGAGGAAUAUUGGACAAUGGGUGAGAGCCUGAUCCAGCCAUCCCGCGUGAAGGAUUAAGGUCCUAUGGAUUGUAAACUUCUUUUGUAUAGGGAUAAACCUAGAUACGUGUAUCUAGCUGAAGGUACUAUACGAAUAAGCACCGGCUAACUCCGUGCCAGCAGCCGCGGUAAUACGGAGGGUGCAAGCGUUAUCCGGAUUUAUUGGGUUUAAAGGGUCCGUAGGCUGAUUUGUAAGUCAGUGGUGAAAUCUCACAGCUUAACUGUGAAACUGCCAUUGAUACUGCAAGUCUUGAGUGUUGUUGAAGUAGCUGGAAUAAGUAGUGUAGCGGUGAAAUGCAUAGAUAUUACUUAGAACACCAAUUGCGAAGGCAGGUUACUAAGCAACAACUGACGCUGAUGGACGAAAGCGUGGGGAGCGAACAGGAUUAGAUACCCUGGUAGUCCACGCCGUAAACGAUGCUA